rnacentral:rRNA from 1 species
UAGGAAAUCUUCGGCAAUGGACGAAAGUCUGACCGACCAACGCCGCGUUAGUGAAAAAGGUUUUCGGACCGUAAAACUCUGUUGUUAGAGAAAAACAAGGACGUUAGUAACUGAACGUCCCCUGACGGUAUCUAACCAGAAAGCCACGGCUAACUACGUGCCAGCAGCCGCGGUAAUACGUAGGUGGCAAGCGUUGUCCGGAUUUAUUGGGCGUAAAGCGAGCGCAGGCGGUUUCUUAAGUCUGAUGUGAAAGCCCCCGGCUCAACCGGGGAGGGUCAUUGGAAACUGGGAGACUUGAGUGCAGAAGAGGAGAGUGGAAUUCCAUGUGUAGCGGUGAAAUGCGUAGAUAUAUGGAGGAACACAAGUGGCGAAGGCGGCUCUCUGGUCUGUAACUGACGCUGAGGCUCGAAAGCGUGGGGAGCAAACAGG